GAUGAACGCUGGCGGCGUGCCUAAUACAUGCAAGUCGAGCGAACGGACGAGAAGCUUGCUUCUCUGAUGUUAGCGGCGGACGGGUGAGUAACACGUGGAUAACCUACCUAUAAGACUGGGAUAACUUCGGGAAACCGGAGCUAAUACCGGAUAAUAUUUUGAACCGCAUGGUUCAAAAGUGAAAGACGGUCUUGCUGUCACUUAUAGAUGGAUCCGCGCUGCAUUAGCUUGUUGGUAAGGUAACGGCUUACCAAGGCAACGAUGCAUAGCCGACCUGAGAGGGGGAUCGGCGACACUGGAACUGAGACACGGUCCAGACUCCUACGGGAGGCAGCAGUAGGGAAUCUUCCGCAAUGGGCGAAAGCCUGACGGAGCAACGCCGCGUGAGUGAUGAAGGUCUUCGGAUCGUAAAACUCUGUUAUUAGGGAAGAACAUAUGUGUAAGUAACUGUGCACAUCUUGACGGUACCUAAUCAGAAAGCCACGGCUAACUACGUG
rnacentral:rRNA from 1 species